GGUCGCUGUGUCAAAUUCAGUGUCUGCCCCACCCAUGGCAGACUGGCCCAAAAGGCUGCCACAAACACUGUGACGCAUGGGCCCUGUUUUUCUUUUCUGGACCUCAGGGAUAAAUUUCGUUUCAGACACCA
ensembl:snoRNA